UACAGAGUGUAGCCUUAUUUCAAAAAUAA
rnacentral:piRNA from 1 species